AUGCCGAGCGACUGCGGCCCAGUCGGCUCCGCGGCCUCCCUCUGCGUCUGCGCAUCACCCAGACUCCUAGCAAUUUGGCAGGCAAGAGCAACAGAGCACCGAGCGGUCACAGCUCAACUGCCUCCCGCAGCGGCUCCUGGUGCACACGCGCAUCCUCGACUCUUAUGUAGCAACCGGCCUAAACUGGAGAGGACCCACGAGUCGCUCCCAGUACGCUUGCGCAUCUCCGAAUAUUACUAUCAGCGAGGCAGGAGCCAAGAAGGAUCUCCUACUCGUUUCCAGAUCCGGAGGCCAUUCCCAGUUCGCCUGAGGAACCACUACUCCCACACGGAGGCAGGAGCGGCAGAAGGCCGAGUGGUCGGCCCCUGGUUCCCCGCCUGUCGGCCUUUCAGGGGGACUGUAUCCCAGCCUCAUUAUUUCCUGGGUACGGUGCCCGGGAAAGAGUCCAAACCACUCCAUCUUCCACUGCAAGCAAAGCUAGCUAAGUCCUACCUACUUGGCACUCUUUCAUCACCAAACAGAGCAGCUCAGAGCUCACCAAAUGCGCCACAUCCUUGCAGAUUUGCAAAAAGCUAUUUCUGCUUUCUCUUUCUGUCCCGUUAUAUUUGCUGAAUAAAUGGAGUUCGGGCUAUAAAAUAACCUAAAAAAUUAGUCUCUGAAUAGCUCCUUUGCUAAGGGUCUGGUGUGCUUCCUGGUAGUGGUCAAGGGCCAUGGCCAACAACCAGUACACACUAACAGGAGGUAGUACAUUCAUUUGAUCAGAGCUUCACAUGACAAAAGAGGCUCCCAACUAAUAGACCCAAAG
rnacentral:lncRNA from 1 species